UACGGGAGGCAGCAGUGGGGAAUAUUGCACAAUGGGCGCAAGCCUGAUGCAGCCAUGCCGCGUGUAUGAAGAAGGCCUUCGGGUUGUAAAGUACUUUCAGUCGUGAGGAAGGUGUUAAGGUUAAUAACCUUAGCAAUUGACGUUAGCGACAGAAGAAGCACCGGCUAACUCCGUGCCAGCAGCCGCGGUAAUACGGAGGGUGCGAGCGUUAAUCGGAAUUACUGGGCGUAAAGGGCACGCAGGCGGUUAAUUAAGUUGGAUGUGAAAUCCCCGGGCUUAACCCCGGGAUGGCAUUCAAGACUGGUUAGCUAGAGUCUUGUAGAGGGGGUAGAAUUCCAUGUGUAGCGGUGAAUGCGUAGAGAUGUGGAGGAAUACCGGUGGCGAAGGCGGCCCCUGACAAGACUGACGCUCAUGUGCGAAGCGUGGGGAGCAAACAGGGAUUAGAUA
rnacentral:rRNA from 1 species